UCGAACCACGCGUACACUGCCGUUCCUCCACGCCGUCCGCACCCACCUGGCGGCUGCUCGCUACGUUUUUUUAGCC
rfam:Xanthomonas fragariae strain PD5205 genome assembly, chromosome: 1